GAGUAGCUUGCUACUUUGCUGACGAGCGGCGGACGGGUGAGUAAUGCUUGGGAAUAUGCCUUUACGUGGGGGACAACAGUUGGAAACGACUGCUAAUACCGCAUAAUGUCUUCGGACCAAAGGAGGGGACUCUUCGGAGCCUUUCGCGUAAAGAUUAGCCCAAGUGGGAUUAGCUAGUUGGUGGGGUAAUGGCUCACCAAGGCGACGAUCCCUAGCUGGUUUGAGAGGAUGAUCAGCCACACUGGGACUGAGACACGGCCCAGACUCCUACGGGAGGCAGCAGUGGGGAAUAUUGCACAAUGGGCGCAAGCCUGAUGCAGCCAUGCCGCGUGUGUGAAGAAGGCCUUCGGGUUGUAAAGCACUUUCAGUCGUGAGGAAGGGGUGUAAAUUAAUACUUGCUAUCUUUGACGUUAGCGACAGAAGAAGGACCGGCUAACUCCGUGCCAGCAGCCGCGGUAAUACGGAGGGUCCGAGCGUUAAUCGGAAUUACUGGGCGUAAAGCGUACGC
rnacentral:rRNA from 1 species